UUUGGAACAUUUUAAUAAAGUGGAUUAAGAACUCGGACACAAAAAGUAACCUGUUUCCCUGUGACGGGUGCUUUAAUCUUCUCCCUGAGCUGCUGACAAAGGCUUUCCUUAAAGAAACCUCCUGAACACAAAAGGGAGAAUAAAAGAAUGGGAGAACAGACUGAGAGGUGCAAGAUGUUUAAAAGCACCCAAAAAAAUGAAGCCGCUUGGGUGUUAAUUGUAUUCUCUUUUCCCAGAGCCUGUUUUCCUCUUUCGCUUCCGAUUUUGGAUCAAUGCUAGAGGCUGCAAAGCUAACCCAAGGAAGGAAAAAGCCUUUGAUUAGACAAUCUGAGUGGUAAAAAAGGUAUUGAACAGAAAGUGCAGUCAAUGAGCUGCUCAAUACAACAAUUAGAAGGUGAAACUUUUUCUUUCCCUUUCGAAGCAAGACACACCUCUGCUCUGCUGGAAGGAGGUAGGUGGGAGGAAUUUUUCCCAUUCUUGUGCCCAAUUGUCUCCUGGACCUAUUCCAUUUCAAAGAAGAGUAUGACCUAUAAAACUGACCCGCUUUUAUAUCACCCAAUGCAGCCUAUGAAACUAUCUGGCAUUUAAAGGGACACUCCCGGUGUUUUCAGCAACAAGAUUUCCAUGACAAUAAAUUAAUAAACUAAUAAAGAAAUAUAGAAAAAUGUUAUCUUUGCAAGUGUUCCUGGAGUAUUUCUAAUUAAAGAAUCUUUCCAGCAUUGCUGGCAAUAUAAAUGGUUAUACAAUUGAAGUUUUGCCCAGAUGGGGAACCCCACUGUUCCAUGGACAUGACGUGGGAAUUAAAUCUCAGUUGAUUGGUUUGACAUGCCAACACGGUAAGUUCAUUUCUUUUCUUCCUGUCUCAAUGGUCAGAAUUAUUAUUGUAAGACUAGAGACUUAUUUAUAUGUUUGCUUGUUUCCCCUUCCCCCACUAGGGUAUUUUCAAGCUUGGGAGCAUCUCAAGGUGUUGUGGGUGGUUCAACAGAUGACUCUGGCCAACAGCCAGUGUCACUUGGCAAGAAGGCCACAACGUGUGCCCUCGGGGACUUUGCAGACUUGUAACUUUGCAAGUCCUGCAGUGACGAGAGUUGUGUCAGUCUCUUGGGCUUCGUUUGGAGCUGAAUUUGGUUCAAGAACAUGGUGUCUCCUUCAGUCUGGACCAUGUCUACUGCAAUCCAAGACAGAGCCCGAGCUGCAUUUGCUGUGGUUCUGCCAGGGACAAAAGGUGCCAUCACAGGCUCUCUCUGAACAUGGGCAAGCAGAAGAUCUCACAGCAGGAGGGGAACUGAGGCGUUUCUGCAUCUCUCUCCCUCACAGCUUCAGAUACAUCUACAGCCAUUUAUAGACAGAGAUCAUGGUUGCCGAAUGAAAGGUUGGAAAAACGAGACGCCCAAGGCAACCCUACCUCAGUGACAGUGCCUCUGGACUACGAGGGGGAGCCUAAAAUCAAAUUUCUGCAGGGAACUUUCUUCAGUUUUCUAAGGUAUGCCUCCUUUUAAUCUGGAGCUGUUGGCUGGGUGGUUUCCAAACUUGCUUGAGUUGUUGGGAAAGGGGCAGGGAGGGCCCUGUGUUCCCAACCAGGUACAGCAAUUUGUGGGUUUCUGCUCCAUCCUCUUCCUUUAGGUUCACACUUGCUCUGAGCCACCCAGCUACAUUGGCCUCGGGUCUGGGGUUGUACCAAUGAAAUCACCCCCAGGCUUUGGAAAGCCUUUUCUUGGGUGAGGAGUGGAGAGAACAUAUUUCCCUGCACAGAUCCUUGCUGAUAGCUCAGGCGAACUAGGCAAAACAGAUAGUGAUUGAUAGUAUUUGCUUAUGAUGGUUCCUGAUGGCAUUUUGAGGAAGAAUGGAGAGAUAACUAAUUUGCUCGCCAGAAUCUUAGCUUACCUUUGAAAAAGAUAAUUGAGUCUCUUGCCUUCAUAUUCAAAAGAUAAAUGUGCCUUGAGAAUGGCCAAUUGUGUCUGAUUGUGUCUGCAGAGAGCCUGAGAAUAAGGAAAAGCAGGUGCAUCACUAGCACAUUAGUUACAAACUCUCUUGAUAGGCACUUAAGUGGCCCCAUUAUUAACCAGCCUCUGCAGGAC
rnacentral:lncRNA from 1 species